rnacentral:hammerhead_ribozyme from 1 species
AUCCAUCUGAAGAGUCCCAAAAAGGAUGAAACGCUCGUCCUCGAU